CUUGGGGACUGUUCAGUGAAGCCGUCGUGCACCCCGGAGGCCCUGGGACACCCGGAGGGCGCGGCGGGGGCUCCGGCCACCCCCCCGGGCCGGGUCACAGCUUCCCGCCUGGCGCACCCAGGGUUUUGAGAGUCGCGUGUGCGCCCGAGUGAGAAGGGCUCCGACGGCGCGCGCUCGGGGCCGCGGGGCUGGCUCCGGAAAGCCGCGGGAGGACGGAGACCGCAACGAGGCGCGCGGGGGGCAGGCUUCGGCGCUGUUGCCAACGAACCCACAGACUAGAACUGUACUGAAGCGCGCUUGACGAUGUAUCGGCAGGUCUGGUGGAACAGGAACGUUCCCUGUCUUGAGAGCUUGGUGAUGGAAGAAGAAAACUUGGCGAAAGUAGCAGAAGUGACGAGAUUAUCAGAAAUCGCUCCGUUAAGGGAGCAUCUGAGCUGACACCCUCUUCUCAUUGUAACGUGGAUUAAAAAAGGCCCUGAUAAACCUUCA